rnacentral:rRNA from 1 species
CCUACGGGUGGCAGCAGUGAGGAAUAUUGGUCAAUGGUCGGGAGACUGAACCAGCCAAGCCGCGUGAGGGAUGAAGGUCCAGAGGAUCGUAAACCUCUUUUGUCGGGGAACAAAAGCGGGGACGUGUCCCGGUCUGAGUGUACCUGAAGAAAAAGCAUCGGCUAACUCCGUGCCAGCAGCCGCGGUAAUACGGAGGAUGCGAGCGUUAUCCGGAUUUAUUGGGUUUAAAGGGUGCGCAGGCGGUAGGUUAAGUCAGCGGUCAAAGCCCGGGGCUCAACCCCGGCGAGCCGUUGAAACUGGCAGUCUCGAGUGGGAGAGAAGUAUGCGGAAUGCGCGGUGUAGCGGUGAAAUGCAUAGAUAUCGCGCAGAACUCCGAUUGCGAAGGCAGCAUGCCGGCGCCAAACUGACGCUGAGGCACGAAAGCGUGGGUAUCGAACAGGAUUAGAUACCCCUGUAGUC